UCAAGUGUGGGUUGAUUCUGCCAGGUCACAUUGAAUGAGUUAGGGUCCUAGUGUCAGAUACUGGGGCACAGCUACAAAGGAGAAAUAGUUAUACAACUGAGGGGUUUGGAGAGUUGGAUCUCUCCUUCAUCCUUUCUAUUUGUUCCAACCUUGCCUGUUUAUGGGUUAGUGAAUGCAGCAAAAAAUGAUCUCCUUCUUGCCUCAAUAGCUUGUUUCUUAGCAGUCUCUGAAGGAUAGAGGAAAAAUUUCUUUCUGCAAUCCAAAGUCUAUAUGUUCUCAUCAUCAUUGACUCAAUUUUGGGGGUGCCACAACUUGUAAAGCUGGGAUCCAGAGAGAAGAGGCAGAUCUCCUAGGAUGAGAAGAAACUUGAGUCUCUCUGAAGAUCAACUGUUUCCCUUUGAAUACCUGGAUACCUCUCACUCAGCUCUCAAUAACAGAAGUCAGAGCCAUCAUUGGUUAUUGUGGACUGGGACUUUGAAGGAAUGUCUGCAGAGAUCCCUUUUCAAAGAUAUCAUUCUCCAUCUCUCUCCCUAGUCUGUUUCUGGGCUCCUGUAUUUAAAGCUAGUUAGCUUAGAAGUAGGGAUCAGCUGGUGGCAGACAUGAAGAGGAAUCAAAGCUGAGAAAGCCUUUAACCCCUAAACUUUGGAGGACCAAUUUGCCAGAGGGGAUAAGUGUAGGGCCUCCUGUACCCCCAUUUUAUCUACUUGAUACCCAUUACUACUCCUUCCCUAUUUGAACCCAAAUAAAUUAUCUGCUGCUUUA